rnacentral:rRNA from 1 species
CAGUCGCCACGGUAAUACGUAGGGUGCAAGCGUUAUCCGGAAUUAUUGGGCGUAAAGAGCUCGUAGGCGGUUUGUCGCGUCUGUUGUGAAAACUGGAGGCUCAACCUCCAGCCUGCAGUGGGUACGGGCAGACUAGAGUGCGGUAGGGGAGAUUGGAAUUCCUGGUGUAGCGGUGGAAUGCGCAGAUAUCAGGAGGAACACCGAUGGCGAAGGCAGAUCUCUGGGCCGUAACUGACGCUGAGGAGCGAAAGCAUGGGGAGCGAACAGGAUUAGAUACCCGUGUAGUCCCUGUCUCUUAUAC